rfam:Candidatus Kaiserbacteria bacterium RIFCSPLOWO2_01_FTLL_54_24 rifcsplowo2_01_scaffold_8847, whole genome shotgun sequence.
GGAGAGGUGGCUGAGUGGUCGAAAGCAACACGGUGCUAACGUGUCAUCCGGGUAAAACUGGAUCGAGGGUUCGAAUCCCUCCCUCUCCG